rnacentral:rRNA from 1 species
AUUCAAGCGUUAUCCGGAUUUAUUGGGUUUAAAGGGUGCGUAGGCGGUUUGAUAAGUUGGAGGUGAAAUGUUAGGGCUUAACCCUGAAACUGCCUCUGAUACUGUCGGGCUAGAGUUUAGUUGCGGUAGGCGGAAUGUAUGGUGUAGCGGUGAAAUGCAUAGAGAUCAUACAGAACACCGAUUGCGAAGGCAGCUUACCAAACUACGACUGACGUUGAGGCACGAAAGCGUGGGGAGCAAA